ACACAACUGACGUGUCUCAAAUAGGACGAAACAUCCGUCUUGUAU
rfam:Schistosoma curassoni strain Dakar, Senegal genome assembly, scaffold: SCTD_scaffold0010009